rnacentral:rRNA from 1 species
CCACGACGAUAAUGACGGUAGUGGGAGAAGAAGCCCCGGCUAACUUCGUGCCAGCAGCCGCGGUAAUACGAAGGGGGCUAGCGUUGUUCGGAUUUACUGGGCGUAAGCGCACGUAGGCGGAUCUUUAAGUCAGGGGUGAAAUGCCAAGGCUCAACCUUGGAACUGCCUCUGAUACUGGAGAUCUUGAGUUCGGGAGAGGUGAGUGGAACUGCGAGUGUAGAGGUGAAAUUCGUAGAUAUUCGCAAGAACACCAGUGGCGAAGGCGGCUCACUGGCCCGAUACUGACGCUGAGGUGCGAAAGCGUGGGGGAGCAACAGGAUUAGAUACCCUGGUAGUCCACGCCGUAAACGAUGGAUGCUAGCCGUUAGGCAGCUUGCUGCUUAGUGGCGCAGCUAACGCUUUAAGCAUCCCGCCUGGGGA